rnacentral:rRNA from 1 species
UACGAAGGGGGCGAGCGUUGUUCGGAUUUACUGGGCGUAAAGGGCGCGCAGGCGGUCAGAUAAGUCGAAUGUGAAAGCCCCCGGCUCAACUGGGGAGGGUCAUUCGAUACUGUUCGACUCGAAGGCAGGAGAGGGAAGUGGAAUUCCCGGUGUAGUGGUGAAAUGCGUAGAUAUCGGGAGGAACACCAGUGGCGAAGGCGACUUCCUGGCCUGUUCUUGACGCUGAGGCGCGAAAGCUAGGGGAGCAAACGGG